AGCUGCGCCCCCGGCCCGCACACACCCCGGCUCAUCUUCUCCCGGUCCUUGUCUCGCGCCUUCUCCACCCCUGGAAGUUGCCCCAGGGCUCCUCCCGGGAGGAGAGGGCGCUGUGACGGGCCAGAUGUUGGGGGUCUUUUGUGCAGACACACGCGCCUGGGGCGCUUGCUCCUGGAAGGACAGCGGCAGGACAAAGCCAGCUGGACUCGUGGGGGCGCUGCUCGGGAAGCGGCGGUCCCCAAUCCCGCCUGGAGUCGGGGCAUGGCUUGGGGAGCGCUGCCUGGGUCUGGAGAGAGUAGAGAAAUCGCCAAAGCAGAGUGACGGUGGCUUGCUGAAGAAAGCUCAGUCUCAAUUGUGUUUCCUGCCUGUCAGCCUCUUGCCUCCUAAACGUGUACCAUUUCCACUUGAUGUCAUCACGCAGAAGGGGUGAAAGAGACUCGGUGACAGAUACAGAUCUCAUAUCUGAAUCCCUGAUUCCGUUGGCCUUUGCUGCCUCCAACAUCUUGCAGACCAUGGCAUAUCCCUGGGGAUGGCC
rnacentral:sRNA from 1 species